AGCGAACGCUGGCGGCAGGCCUAACACAUGCAAGUCGAACGGACCCUUCGGGGUUAGUGGCGGACGGGUGAGUAACACGUGGGAACGUGCCUUUAGGUUCGGAAUAGCUCCUGGAAACGGGUGGUAAUGCCGAAUGUGCCCUUCGGGGGAAAGAUUUAUCGCCUUUAGAGCGGCCCGCGUCUGAUUAGCUAGUUGGUGAGGUAAUGGCUCACCAAGGCGACGAUCAGUAGCUGGUCUGAGAGGAUGACCAGCCACACUGGGACUGAGACGCGGCCCAGACUCCUACGGGAGGCAGCAGUGGGGAAUCUUGCGCAAUGGGCGAAAGCCUGACGCAGCCAUGCCGCGUGAAUGAUGAAGGUCUUAGGAUUGUAAAAUUCUUUCACCGGGGACGAUAAUGACGGUACCCGGAGAAGAAGCCCCGGCUAACUUCGUGCCAGCCGCCGCAGUAAAAC
rnacentral:rRNA from 1 species